GGAAAGAUGAAAAGAACUUUGAAAAGAGAGUUAAAUAGUACGUGAAAUUGUUGAAAGGGAAACGAUUGAGGUCAGUCAUGCCGGCGGGAAUCAACUUAGGGGAAACUCUAAGUGCACUUCACGUUUGGCAGGUCAGCGUCGAUUUUGGAUAUCAUAAAAUGAUCGGGGGAAGGUAGCUCUUUCGGGAGUGUUAUAGCCCUUGGUAGAUGUGAUGUCUGGGAUCGAGGAUUGCAACGGAUACCCUUUGGGCUAGCCGUCUGAUCUCUAACUGGUAUUGAGUUACGGACAGCAUGCUGACCGUGAUUUAAUUACUGGUUAAAAGGUUAGAGCGAGUAUAAAUUCGUUAAGGACGCUGACGUAAUGGCUUUAAACGACCCGUCUUGAAACACGGACCA
rnacentral:rRNA from 1 species